rnacentral:rRNA from 1 species
CACAUGACUCUCGGCAACGGAUAUCUCGGCUCUCGCAUCGAUGAAGAACGUAGCGAAAUGCGAUACCUGGUGUGAAUUGCAGAAUCCCGCGAACCAUCGAGUCUUUGAACGCAAGUUGCGCCCGAGGCCACCUGGACGAGGGCACGCCUGCCUGGGCGUCACGC